AGUGAACGCUGGCGGUAGGCCUAACACAUGCAAGUCGAACGGCAGCACAGGAGAGCUUGCUCUCUGGGUGGCGAGUGGCGGACGGGUGAGGAAUACAUCGGAAUCUGCCCAGUCGUGGGGGAUAACGUAGGGAAACUUACGCUAAUACCGCAUACGACCUUCGGGUGAAAGAGGGGGAUCGCAAGACCUCUCGCGAUUGGAUGAGCCGAUGUCGGAUUCGCUAGUUGGCGGGGUAAUGGCCCACCAAGGCGACGAUCCGUAGCUGGUCUGAGAGGAUGAUCAGCCACACUGGAACUGAGACACGGUCCAGACUCCUACGGGAGGCAGCAGUGGGGAAUAUUGGACAAAGGGAGCAAGCCUGAUCCAGCCAUACCGCGUGGGUGAAGAAGGCCUUCGGGUUGUAAAGCCCUUUUGUUGGGAAAGAAAUCUUUCAGGCUAAUACACUGGGAGGAUGACGGUACCCAAAGAAUAAGCACCGGCUAACUUCGUG
rnacentral:rRNA from 1 species